UCUCAGUUCGGAUUGAAGGCUGAAAUUCGCCUUCAUGAAGCCGGAAUUGCUAGUAAUGGCAGGUCAGCAUACUGCCGUGAAUACGUUCCCGGGCCUUGUACACACCGCCCGCCACACCAUGAGAGUUGGGAAUACCCGAAGCCUGUGAGCUAACUUUUAGAGGCAGCAGUCGAAGGUAGAAUCAAUGAUUGGGGUGAAGUCGUAACAAGGUAUC
rnacentral:rRNA from 1 species